rnacentral:rRNA from 1 species
AUUGAACGCUGGCGGCAUGCCUUACGCAUGCAAGUCGAACGGUAACAGGUCUUCGGAUGCUGACGAGUGGCGAACGGGUGAGUAAUACAUCGGAACGUGCCUAGUAGUGGGGGAUAACUACUCGAAAGAGUGGCUAAUACCGCAUGAGAUCUACGGAUGAAAGCAGGGGAUCGCAAGACCUUGUGCUACUAGAGCGGCCGAUGGCAGAUUAGGUAGUUGGUGGGGUAAAGGCUCACCAAGCCGACGAUCUGUAGCUGGUCUGAGAGGACGACCAGCCACACUGGGACUGAGACACGGCCCAGACUCCUACGGGAGGCAGCAGUGGGGAAUUUUGGACAAUGGGCGCAAGCCUGAUCCAGCAAUGCCGCGUGCAGGAAGAAGGCCUUCGGGUUGUAAACUGCUUUUAGUAAGGAAGAAGGGGAGCUUGCUCCUUGACGGUACUUGCAGAAAAAGGACCGGCUAACUACGUGCCAGCAGCCGCCGUAA